rnacentral:lncRNA from 1 species
CUUUGAGUCAGGUUCCAUGGUAAAGCACAGAGGUAGGUGAGGUAUGAAAACAUCCCGUAACUGACCCAUAAGAACUUUUGAUACUUCCUCUUGUUGGCUGGAACGUUUCCACAUAGGUCAAAAAGAGGAAAGGAGAAAGUCCCAGGUCGCCAGUGGUUGUAGAGCUUGGAACAACCUCCAUACACAGAGAACAUAAAGUCCUUUGACUCAGGACAAAAUGGAAGCUGAAAGUUCCUUAAAGAGGCUGCCUAAUUGACACUCUCAUCAGUCACCAAUAAAAGGGAAGGCGUGGCAGAAGACUCGAGGAUGUCAGAAAGAAGCACAACCUGAGUAGAGGUUGUUGGGGAGCAAGAAGACACUCCGAAUACGAGGUGGAAAGGGGGAGCCGGGAGCAGGAGAAACCGGACUUCCCUUUUAUGUGUUGCUUCAUGCCUCUGCUGGUGAACAGAAGGAGGAGAGAGAAAUGGCUGACUCCAAACCCACAGUUCCUGCCCUGGAGUGAAAUAAAAUACUCCGAGGCUGGUGUUUCAAUUGGUGCAAGAUUCUGAAGAGAGCCGAACACUCCCUCUUCCUUUUUGGGACAUGAAUUCCCCAGCUGAAAAAAUGCAUCACUUGGCCUUACCUGCCCUACUCCAUCACCACCUCCUUCUCAGGGAUGUCGUGACAAAGAGGUUUGUUUUGAUGUCUGAGGCGAAGAGAUCUUCCCAGGAGGAGGCCGAGGGAACACUCAGGCGUCCUUUCUCACUUGAGAUCUUCAACACCACCAAGUUGAGAGCUGGAAGGUGCGAGGGAAUUGCAACCAAACUCUUCUGUUCACGUUGUGGGAGAGGGGACCCGUGUCCCAGCUGUGUGAUGACCAUGACAGGAAAGUGAUGGGGAAUGGACUCCUUGAUCACCGCUCCACCAACCUCACUUGCCUGCAGCCUCGGAUUUUUCUGUUUCUCAGGAGCAAAAAGACUCAAAGUUGUGACAACAAAGACCUUUUUCUGGAGUGGUUAUUCUGUUGCUAAGUCAUGUCCGACUCUUUGCGACCCCGUAAACUGCAGCACACCAGGCUCCCCUGUCCUGCACUAUCUCCCAGAGCUAGCUCACACUCAUGUCCAUUGAGUCAGUGAU